GAGUUUGAUCCUGGCUCAGAGCGAACGCUAGCGGCGUGCCUAACACAUGCAAGUCGUACGAGAAAGUCCCCUUCGGGGGAUGAGUAAAGUGGCGCACGGGUGAGUAACGCGUGGGUAAUCUACCCUCGAGCGGGGGAUAACCUGCCGAAAGGUGGGCUAAUACCGCAUAAUACCCCAGGUCGCAUGUCCUGGGGUCAAAGGCGGGGACCCUUCGGGGCCUGUCGCUUGAGGAUGAGCCCGCGUCCCAUCAGCUUGUUGGUGAGGUAAUGGCUCACCAAGGCUAAGACGGGUAGCUGGUCUGAGAGGACGAUCAGCCACACUGGCACUGGAACACGGGCCAGACUCCUACGGGAGGCAGCAGUGAGGAAUAUUGCGCAAUGGGCGAAAGCCUGACGCAGCGACGCCGCGUGAGGGAAGAAGGCCUUCGGGUCGUAAACCUCUGUCGGGGGGGAAGAAACCCCUGGGGACUAAUAAUCCCCAGGCUUGACGGUACCCCCAAAGGAAGCAUCGGCUAACUACGUGCCAGCAGCCGCGGUAAUACGUAGGAUGCAAGCGUUGCUCGGAAUUACUGGGUGUAAAGCGCGCGUAGGUGGCUUGGUAAGUCAGGGGUGAAAUCCCUCGGCUCAACCGAGGAAUUGCCUCUGAAACUGCCUGGCUUGAGUACGGGAGAGGGAAGCGGAAUUCCUGGUGUAGCGGUGAAAUGCGUAGAUAUCAGGAGGAACACCGGUGGCGAAGGCGGCUUCCUGGACCGAUACUGACACUGAGGCGCGAAAGCGUGGGGAGCGAACAGGAUUAGAUACCCUGGUAGUCCACGCCCUAAACGAUGGGCACUAGGUGUGGGGGCUUAAAAGUCUCCGUGCCGAAGCUAACGCAUUAAGUGCCCCACCUGGGGAGUACGGCCGCAAGGUUGAAACUCAAAGGAAUUGACGGGGGCCCGCACAAGCGGUGGAGCAUGUGGUUUAAUUCGACGCAACGCGAAGAACCUUACCUGGGCUUGACAUCCGGAGAAUCCCCUGGAAACAGGGGAGUGCCCUUCGGGGAACUCCGUGACAGGUGCUGCACGGCUGUCGUCAGCUCGUGCCGUGAGGUGUUGGGUUA
rnacentral:rRNA from 1 species